GGCAAAUUUAGCCAAAGGUUUGUAAUUCAUAUUUAAAUUCACUUCAAUUUGGAGUUUAGUGAAUAAACCAGUGAAAUCAUAAGGGAAAUAUAGCAUUUUUUACUCAUUCCCGAAAGUUGUCUGUUUAGCAAAUAACCCUGAGAGUUAUGAGAACUACAUAAUGCAUACAACUCACUAUGUCAACUGUAUUCAGCUCUCUUUUACAUACUAUGUAGAGCUCUUUAAAUUUUACAUAUAUACCAAAAGAUUCACAUUAUGUGCUACAUGCUCCAUAUAAAUAUUAGAGGUUUUCCAGAGAUCAAGUGCAUUGGGAAUGUUGUUUCCUGACUAUAUUUGGAGAGGGAACUUGCCUAUGUAAACUUUUUUCCCUGCUUUCAGGUAGUAUGGCAUUGCUGCGACUACUAGGGGAAUUAGUGCUUCUCUGGAGGUCCAGUGGUUGCUGGUGGAGGUGUGUGUGUUCUUUGGUGCACACACCUCAAGUAGAAUAGUGGAUCCACUCAUUGUGGACCUGUAGCCUAUGCACUCUGUUUGAGACAGACAUAAAGCAUAUGUAACAUACAAAAUUUAAAACGUAUCCACAAUUUGUGAUGAAACCAUUUAAUUUCCUUUUUCCUAUUUUCAGUUCAUGUGUUCGGGUCUGUGCAACCACCUCUACUGGACUCAUGGAAAGUGACAUAUUUUGCAAAGACCCCCGGUGAUGACAUUGCCACUUGGGGUGCUGUGGCCUGAGCAUACAGUGAAGAUGAGUUAUACUUGCCUGAUGCUGUGCCCCAUGGCUCCAGAAAUCUUUGAUCUUGAGCUCCGGUGCUUCAUUUUCCAGGAGCCCACUUCUGAGCUAUACUCUCGCACAUGCUCGAGAGUACAACUAUAGUGCCUAUGGUGAUCAUGCGGAAGCCUCCAUAGAUACAGGUAUUCUGUGGCAAAGAGAAGAAAAGGCCGUACUCCUAGCAACAGCUGGAGGAAGAAAAAAAUCAUUUGACGGCGGUAGCUCCAUCUUUUUGUUACAUUUUUGUCAAGUUAUGGAUUUACCAUAAGACAAGGUAGACCAUACUAUGUUUUAAGACAUUGUUCGUCUUCCUUAGAAUUUCAAUGAAAUUCCAGCACACUCCGUGUAAG